rnacentral:rRNA from 1 species
AACGAACGCUGGCGGCAUGCCUAACACAUGCAAGUCGAACGAGACCUUCGGGUCUAGUGGCGCACGGGUGCGUAACGCGUGGGAACCUGCCCUUAGGUUCGGAAUAACUCCCCGAAAGGGGUGCUAAUACCGGAUAAUGUCUUCGGACCAAAGAUUUAUCGCCUUUGGAUGGGCCCGCGUUGGAUUAGCUAGUUGGUAGGGUAAAAGCCUACCAAGGCGACGAUCCAUAGCUGGUCUGAGAGGAUGAUCAGCCACACUGGGACUGAGGCACGGCCCAGACUACUACGGGAGGCAGCAGUGGGGAAUAUUGGACAAUGGGCGAAAGCCUGAUCCAGCAAUGCCGCGUGAGUGAUGAAGGCCUUAGGGUUGUAAAGCUCUUUUACCCGGGAUGAUAGUGACAGUACCGGGAGAAUAAGCUCCGGCUAACUCCGUG